AGCGUAGGUGGACAGUUUAGUCAGAGGUGAAAGCCCAGGGCUCAACCUUGGAAUUGCCUUUGAUACUGGCUGUCUUGAGUACGGAAGAGGUAUGUGGAACUCCGAGUGUAGAGGUGAAAUUCGUAGAUAUUUGGAAGAACACCAGUGGCGAAGGCGACAUACUGGUCCGUUACUGACACUGAGGCUCGAAAGCGUGGGGAGCAAACA
rnacentral:rRNA from 1 species